GGGACAGGCUGCGCAGAACUACCCUCCUGGUGUAACACCACCAAGUUCUGGUGCACCUACUCAGCCUGUCCCAGCUCCAGUAUAUGGAACUUCCGGCGCACCAAAUGCGCCACCUAUGUACCCUCCACCUCCUUAUGGUUAUGCCUCUUAUUAUCCAUCGGUGACACCAGUUCAGCCGCCACCACCUCCACCACCUGCUGGCGCUGAUCCCUCGCAGAGCCUUGC
rnacentral:misc_RNA from 1 species